GAAAAAGAAUGCAAGGGCUGCUAACUCAUGCGACCAUAUUUAAAAUUAUGGCUUUUUUAA
rnacentral:tRNA from 1 species